UACGAAGGGGGCUAGCGUUGCUCGGAAUGACUGGGCGUAAAGGGCGCGUAGGCGGAUGGCACAGUCAGAUGUGAAAUUCCCGGGCUUAACCUGGGGGCUGCAUUUGAUACGUGCUGUCUUGAGUUCGGAAGAGGGUCGUGGAAUUCCCAGUGUAGAGGUGAAAUUCGUAGAUAUUGGGAAGAACACCGGUGGCGAAGGCGGCGACCUGGUCCGACACUGACGCUGAGGCGCGAAAGCGUGGGGAGCAAACAGG
rnacentral:rRNA from 1 species